GCUUACGGCCGUACCACCCUGUCUGCGCUCGAUCUUGUUUGAUCUCGGAAGCCAAGCAGGGUCGGGCCUGUUUAGUACUUGGAUGGGAGACCGCCAGGGAAUAGCAGGUGCUGUAAGCU
rnacentral:rRNA from 1 species